GACGAACGCUGGCGGCGUGCUUAACACAUGCAAGUCGAACGGUAAGGCCCUUCGGGGUACACGAGUGGCGAACGGGUGAGUAACGCGUGGGUGAUCUGCCCUGCACUUCGGGAUAAGCCUGGGAAACUGGGUCUAAUACCGGAUAGGACCACUGCCUGCAUGGGUGGUGGUGGAAAGCUUUUGUGGUGUGGGAUGGGCCCGCGGCCUAUCAGCUUGUUGGUGGGGUGAUGGCCUACCAAGGCGACGACGGGUAGCCGGCCUGAGAGGGUGACCAGCCACACUGGGACUGAGAUACGGCCCAGACUCCUACGGGAGGCAGCAGUGGGGAAUAUUGCACAAUGGGCGCAAGCCUGAUGCAGCGACGCCGCGUGAGGGAUGACGGCCUUCGGGUUGUAAACCUCUUUCAGCACCGACGAAGCGCAAGUGACGGUAGGUGCAGAAGAAGGACCGGCCAACUACGUGCCAGCCGCCGCGGUAA
rnacentral:rRNA from 1 species